CAUCUUGUACCGUUUUUCCAUUUUAUUAAUUGCUGCACUUUUUCACGUGUUUCUCAUUUUCUCACGCUUGCAAAACGAAAAACUGAAAAUGCGUCUCAAACGAAGCAGCAAAAUUUAAAGCAACCGUUUAGCACUGUGGUGGUGUGGUAUUACUUACAUUUCUGUCAGCUUUUUUACAGGACAUGAGUAAACAGUUUUCACUCUCCAGAAGAAAAUAACUGCUAACACAGUUUCGGUCAUCAUAAAUAAAUGAAAAUAAAAUAAAGUAAAAUUACCGUUAAUCACCAAGUUCUUUUCAUUUUGUGUGUAAUUUAUAUAUUUUUGCACAUGCAAGAAUAUUCAUCCUAUCACACUGCAGCGUCUCCAAUGACAUGAUUUAAUGAACUAGACAGCAGUGUGUUUAGUUAUAACGAUGUCACGUGUUUCACACUUUGACACUGGUCCGUUGUGUCUCUCAGUGAAAGGGAGAAUAAGAGAGACAGGCUGGUGAGCUUAAGCAAAAAGGAAAGUGAGAAAGAAUCAAUACCUGAAUCUGAUACAAUGUUAUCAAUCGUUUAUUUUGUUUUUCUGGUCUCUUGCUCAGCCCUAGCACAGAGUGAAAAUGAAGCUCUUUCAGUUUGGUGGGAGCCAGAGAUGCCCUCACAUUCUGAAACCUCACACAGUUUGAUGGACGGCUAUGGAGAAUAUGAAGUUUUCGAGAGGUCGGCCGAAAAUCAUCUUCUGUUGUGCAUGUCAAGAGGUUGUAAAACGAGCUAAAAAGGCAGUUUCUCAAAAGCUACAAAAGAAAAUAAACGCUGUUUGUUACAAAUACAUAGAGCCGUUUCGAAAGAUCUGCUUUCAGCGUGCAAUGAAAUAUCGGGACAUCAUACUGCACAAGAUCUUCCCUGGAAGGAAUGCGAAGGCGCACAUGUGUGAAGAUAAAGUUAUGCUAGUAACAACUGUGACAAUGGCUGCAGAAGGGAUACAUUUACAUUGACUGUUAUUAGCUAACGUCAAAUCUGUUUUUAUAUUAUCAAAGCUGUUUUUCAUUAUUUGAGAGAAAAUUGUAAGUUGAAUAUUUUUUGUUAUGUACUUGAAUAUUUAUCAGCUAUGGGGUCUUAUGUUUUCAUUUAUGCUUUUCAGAAAAUCAAUGAAAUAUGCAUGGAAACUUCCCCAUUCGAGCCCUUCUGCUUUUCUGUAGCAAAGGCAUACAAAGAAUCCAUAAUGAGGGUUCUUUUUCCUGGAGGUACUCCUAUUGGCACCUGCAGAGUGAUGAGGUUAUGUGAUCAAGACAAUAAGAUCAAAAAAUGCAGUUAAAAGUUAUGUUUAAUCAGAAAUCCCUUUAAAAUGUUUUAAUAGAUGGAUGUUUAUUGUAUUGAAGAUUACUAUUGCUUUUUGGGGGGAUCCUCUGUAAGGUGUAAGAUUGUGUUAUAAUUGUCAUGUGAUUUUCUGGUUAUUUUCUGUUGAUAGUCAUAUUUUUUUCUUAUUAAAGUUGUUUCUCAUUAAAGACUGAUACUGUUUGAGCUCCAGUAAUUCACAUCAGGCAAAUGGCUAGUGAAAUGGGUAGAGAAUGUAAAUCAUGCAGUUAAAAAAAUAAAACUUCAAACUUUGAACUUCAAAA